UACGGGGGGGGCAAGCGUUGUUCGGAAUUACUGGGCGUAAAGGGCUCGUAGGCGGCCAACUAAGUCAUACGUGAAAUCCCUCGGCUUAACCGGGGAACUGCGUCUGAUACUGGAUGGCUUGAGUUCGGGAGAGGGAUGCGGAAUUCCAGGUGUAGCGGUGAAAUGCGUAGAUAUCUGGAGGAACACCGGUGGCGAAGGCGGCAUCCUGGACCGAUACUGACGCUGAAGAGCGAAAGCCAGGGGAGCAAACGGG
rnacentral:rRNA from 1 species